GUUCCAUUGAGGCGAGCGGGGAGCGCGUGCUCUGCAGAGCACAUGGGCAGCAAAGCAGCCAAGGCAGCAACUCCAUUGCUCCCUCCGCCUUCCCCUCGCUGCACAGCCCAGGCCGUGGAAGCCUUUCCUAGACCCUUGUUUUUUUUUUUUUUAAUUUAAAGGAUCCAUAUAUAUAUAUAUAUAUAUAUUUGCAACCGACUGCAACUUGGAUGUUUCUGGAGAACCUCCUCCUCCUCCUCCUCCCCCUUUAUCCGGCCUUGUUGUAGGGGAUGAUGGGUGGUCUCUGGGCUUCAGUUCCCAACCAAUCCGGGGGUUGCAGCAACAUCUCCAAGGUUGUGGGAUUUAUUGAAACACUCAGAAGACUCCUGAGAAUGUCAGCUGCAGACUAAAUGCCUUCAGGGGGAGGAAUUCAUUCUUUUGUACAUUUCACGAUUUGGUGCACAUGUAGCACUGAAGAUGGAUUAUUCUCUUAUUAUCACUGGAAUAUAUUUUUUUGGAAAAGGAAACACAACAAAAGCACGAAUCAUUCGAAUAUAAGGCUGCCCAAUCUUCUAUGUCAUGCAAGCAUGUUGCUGCCCAGAUAAUUGCAGAAGCAGUGGCCGAGGUUUGGAAUCAGAUCUGACACGGUGAAAUGAAAGACGGCAGCAGAUGCUGAGCGUAACAACGAAAGCGUAUGCACAGGAGAAACACAACAGGAUUUUUCUUUCUCCUUUCUUUCUUUCAAGCCGAUUUCUCCUUUCAGCAGCACCCUCUGAGCUAUCAGCUCACAACAUGAUGCUUACCUCAUCCAACAGCUUCAACCCAAAUCAAGCCAAAAUACCAAGGAAAUGCCUGAUGCCCUUGGUUUCACUGAAGUCUGACUUGGGAACCCACCAGCACAGAAACAUCUUGACAGAGGGACGCAAGGAACAAUUAUGCCAGAUACAGCUUUCCCCACUAUUGCAUUCAUGUAAUGGGGACAGUUAUACCUUCCAGAAUAUUUCCUUGGAGUUAGAAAUUAUAAAUAAUACCAGGUUUAAAGCUGGCUUUCUUUGGCAAUCUCAUAAGGAAAGAUGA
rnacentral:lncRNA from 11 species